AACGAACGCUGGCGGCAUGCCCAACACAUGCAAGUCGAACGAGAUCUUCGGGUCUAGUGGCGCACGGGUGCGUAACGCGGGGGAAUCUGCCCUUUGGUUCGGAAUAACAGUUGGAAACGACUGCUAAUACCGGAUGAUGACGAAAGUCCAAAGAUUUAUCGCCAGAGGAUGAGCCCGCGUAGGAUUAGCUCGUUGGUGUGGUAAAGGCGCACCAAGGCGACGAUCCUAGCUGGUCUGAGAGGAUGAGCAGCCACACUGGGACUGAGACACGGCCCAGACUCCUACGGGAGGCAGCAGUGGGGAAUAUUGGACAAUGGGCGAAGGCCUGAUCCAGCAAUGCCGCGUGAGUGAUGAAGGCCUUAGGGUUGUAAAGCUCUUUUACCCGGGAUGAUAAUGACAGUACCGGGAGAAUAAGCUCCGGCUAACUCCGUGCCAGCAGCCGCCGUAA
rnacentral:rRNA from 1 species